rnacentral:rRNA from 1 species
GAUGAACGCUAGCUACAGGCUUAACACAUGCAAGUCGAGGGGCAGCAUGGUCUUAGCUUGCUAAGGCCGAUGGCGACCGGCGCACGGGUGAGUAACACGUAUCCAACCUGCCGUCUACUCUUGGACAGCCUUCUGAAAGGAAGAUUAAUACAAGAUGGCAUCAUGAGUCCGCAUGUUCACAUGAUUAAAGGUAUUCCGGUAGACGAUGGGGAUGCGUUCCAUUAGAUAGUAGGCGGGGUAACGGCCCACCUAGUCUUCGAUGGAUAGGGGUUCUGAGAGGAAGGUCCCCCACAUUGGAACUGAGACACGGUCCAAACUCCUACGGGAGGCAGCAGUGAGGAAUAUUGGUCAAUGGGCGAGAGCCUGAACCAGCCAAGUAGCGUGAAGGAUGACUGCCCUAUGGGUUGUAAACUUCUUUUAUAAAGGAAUAAAGUCGGGUAUGGAUACCCGUUUGCAUGUACUUUAUGAAUAAGGAUCGGCUAACUCCGUGCCAGCAGCCGCGGUAAUACGGAGGAUCCGAGCGUUAUCCGGAUUUAUUGGGUUUAAAGGGAGCGUAGAUGGAUGUUUAAGUCAGUUGUGAAAGUUUGCGGCUCAACCGUAAAAUUGCAGUUGAUACUGGAUAUCUUGAGUGCAGUUGAGGCAGGCGGAAUUCGUGGUGUAGCGGUGAAAUGCUUAGAUAUCACGAAGAACUCCGAUUGCGAAGGCAGCCUGCUAAGCUGCAACUGACAUUGAGGCUCGAAAGUGUGGGUAUCAAACAGGAUUAGAUACCCUGGUAGUCCACACGGUAAACGAUGAAUACUCGCUGUUUGCGAUAUACUGCAAGCGGCCAAGCGAAAGCGUUAAGUAUUCCACCUGGGGAGUACGCCGGCAACGGUGAAACUCAAAGGAAUUGACGGGGGCCCGCACAAGCGGAGGAACAUGUGGUUUAAUUCGAUGAUACGCGAGGAACCUUACCCGGGCUUAAAUUGCAGAUGAAUUACGGUGAAAGCCGUAAGCCGCAAGGCAUCUGUGAAGGUGCUGCAUGGUUGUCGUCAGCUCGUGCCGUGAGGUGUCGGCUUAAGUGCCAUAACGAGCGCAACCCUUGUUGUCAGUUACUAACAGGUUCCGCUGAGGACUCUGACAAGACUGCCAUCGUAAGAUGUGAGGAAGGUGGGGAUGACGUCAAAUCAGCACGGCCCUUACGUCCGGGGCUACACACGUGUUACAAUGGGGGGGUACAGAGGGCCGCUACCACGCGAGUGGAUGCCAAUCCCCAAAACCUCUCUCAGUUCGGACUGGAGUCUGCAACCCGACUCCACGAAGCUGGAUUCGCUAGUAAUCGCGCUUCAGCCACGGCGCGGUAAAUACGUUCCCGGGCCCU